GGUUAAGUGACUAAGCGUACACGGUGGAUGCCUUGGCAGUUGGAGGCGAUGAAGGACGUAUUAACUNCUUGGCAGUUGGAGGCGAUGAAGGACGUAUUAACUUGCGAUAAGCUUAGUCAAGCUAGUAAAAAGCGCUUGAGACUAAGAUUUCCGAAUGGGGAAACCCACCUGCUUGCAGGUAUCGUUAACUGAAUACAUAGGUUAACGAGGCGAACGCGGAGAACUGAAACAUCUAAGUACCCGUAGGAAAAGAAAUCAACCGAGAUUCCGAAAGUAGCGGCGAGCGAAAUCGGAACAGCCCUUAAGCUUAUUAUGUGUUAAUGGAAGGCUGCUGGAAAGCGCCACGAUACAGGGUGAUAGUCCCGUACAUGAAAAGACAUUUUAAGUGAAAUCGAGUAGGUCGGAGCACGUGAAACUUUGACUGAAUAUAGGUGGACCAUCAUCUAAGGCUAAAUACUCCCAACUGACCGAUAGUGAACCAGUACCGUGAGGGAAAGGCGAAAAGAACCCCUGUGAGGGGAGUGAAAUAGAACCUGAAACCGUGUACGUACAAGCAGUAGGAGCCCACUUGUUGGGUGACUGCGUACCUUUUGUAUAAUGGGUCAGCGACUUAUAUUUUGUAGCGAGGUUAACCGAAUAGGGGAGCCGUAGGGAAACCGAGUCUUAACUGGGCGAAUAGUUGCAAGGUAUAGACCCGAAACCCGGUGAUCUAGCCAUGGGCAGGUUGAAGGUUGAGUAACAUCAACUGGAGGACCGAACCCACUAACGUUGAAAAGUUAGGGGAUGACCUGUGGCUAGGAGUGAAAGGCUAAUCAAACCGGGAGAUAGCUGGUUCUCCCCGAAAUCUAUUUAGGUAGAGCCUCGGACGAAUACUUACGGGGGUAGAGCACUGUUAAGGCUAGGGGGUCAUCCCGACUUACCAACCCUUUGCAAGCUCCGAAUACCGUAAAGUAAUAUCCGGGAGACACACGGCGGGUGCUAACGUCCGUCGUGAAGAGGGAAACAACCCAGACCGCCAGCUAAGGUCCCAAAGUCAUAGUUAAGUGGGAAACGAUGUGGAAAGGCCCAGACAGCCAGGAGGUUGGCUUAGAAGCAGCCAUCCUUUAAAGAAAGCGUAAUAGCUCACUGGUCGAGUCGGUCUGCGCGGAAGAUGUAACGGGGCUAAACUAUGCACCGAAGCUGCGGAUUCAGAAU
rnacentral:rRNA from 1 species